CCUGCAGCAGCAGCAUCCUGGUGGGGCUCUUCGCCAUCAUCGGCGGCGGCGCGGCGUGGUGAUGAUCCUCGAAGGGUCUGCCAAGGGACCACUUCUCAUCGGCCUCGGGCUCGUUGUGUUUGGGCGAAAUUCCUGACCUUCCGCAAGAAGCAGUGGAAUCUAAUCAAGGGAGAGGCCCAAAGUUUGGUCUUGGAGGAAGGAGAGUUCGAAGUCCUCGUUGUGAAGGACGAAACAGAGCGACCCCCUGCUGGCCUUUGUCCCAAACGACGGGAGCGUCGCCGAAAUCCCAGCCGGCUACCCCAACCACAGGGAAACGGAAACGGCAGAGCCCCUCACCAUCAAGAUGCGGCCAGGGCUCAUGCUGGUGAAGGAGCUGAAGGGGAAGGAAGGGAUACCCGGAGAUGUCGUCGAAUCAGAAGCGAGCUCUGUUCUUCUUCCAGUUGGGAAGCUGCCUCAUUGUUGCAUCCAUCAUCGGUCUGGGCAUCUCGUUUGGCAAGUCCUUCUACCGCGGACUUGCAAUUACAGGAGCUGUGAUAUUUAUCCCUGAGGCCUUGUUUGCCCUCUGGUUCUACGCUGCUUUUAUCAAAGGGCGACGUCAGCAUGACUAUCCCUGAUUUAGAAGACCAGACUGUCAGAAGUAGAUCUUACACAUGUUGCCCC